rnacentral:lncRNA from 1 species
AUGAGGAAUACAGCUUUGGUGCAUCACUUGUCCUUCAGUUUGUUGUGGCACUCACAGAGGCACACCCUGGAUAAUACCAUUUGGUAUUUGAUAACUCUUUCACUAGUACUGAACUUUUUUUUUUUUGUUUUUGAGACAGGGUCUCACUAUGUAGUUGAGACUGACCUGGAACUCACCUAUGUGGUCCAGGCUGGUCUUGAACUCACAGUGAUCCUCCUGCCUCAGCCUCCCGAGUGCUGGGAUUACAGGCGUGAGACACUAUGCCUGGCCUUCGUUCACAUGGUACUAUCAGAAAAUGAUCCCUUCCCACCCUGGUGAAUUGUGGCACCUACAGUACAGUCCCCAGGCAAGGAGGAAACACUGCAAGGGGAAGUGCAGGCGGCUCGUCCUGAGGCCGUCCUCACGUGGCACCGUCAGGUAACAGGGAAGAAAUAUUUGCCGGACUGCUUUCCUGACGGCUCGACCAGCUUUCAGUGUUUCAGUCCCGUUCCCUCAUUUCUCACAAGUGUAAUGACUUUAGUGAGGUUCUGUUUCGCAUUUUUGUUAGCAAAGGUUUAAUUUCCCCAUUUUUGAAAGUUACCUGGAUUCUCAAGCACAUAACUUCUGUGGCCACUCACUAAGUGGAAUUUUUUUGUUACUUUAAUUUUCAGGAAAGAAUGCAUCAAACACAUUCACAUUUCUUUCUGUAGAAGGAAAUGACAAAGACCUGGUUUACUAGCUUUUAUAAGCCUAACACUAUAUAUUUAAACAAUUGUCAAAUCUUUAGAGUUAUUAUCCAUGCAUAACUAGAAAAUCCUUAAAUUUUAUAAACUGUGUUACCAUUUUAU